GACAGAGGACUCGAGCGUUAGGCGGAAUCACUGGGCUUAAAGCGUGUGUAGGCGGGCCCGUAAGUGUCUUGUGAAAUCCCACGGCUCAACCGUGGAACUGCUGGGCAUACUGCGGGUCUUGGGCCAACUAGGGGCAGCCGGAACAAGCGGUGGAGCGGUGAAAUGCGUAGAUAUCGCUUGGAACGCCGAAGGUGAAAACAGGCUGCUGGGGUUGCGCCGACGCUGAGACACGAAAGCCAGGGGAGCAAACGGG
rnacentral:rRNA from 1 species